rnacentral:lncRNA from 1 species
AAUUUAUGUUUGCAUGUCAGUUAUUUUCCACUGUCUGGAUGUGUCUAAUGGCUGUGUUCAAUACUAGGGGUAGUAAAACUUUGAUUUUGUUGAAUGCGAAUUGUUUUCUAGGUCUGCAUGUGUAUAAUGGUGUUGGAAAUAGAAGUUUACUACCCCCAGUAGAAGUUACUAGGGGUAGUAAAAUAGAGUUUGGUUUGCACAUCAGUUGUUUCUCUUUCAGAGUGUAUAUUGGCCUUGGAGAUGUUCUAUUGCAAGUUGACUACCCCCAGUUGAAAUUUACUAGGGGUAGUAAACUUUUUAAUAUGUAGUUUAUAAAGGCAGGAUCACUUGGGGUAGUAAAACUGACACGACCCACCCCGAAUUUCACCCUGAAACCCGGAGUAAGUCGUGCGGGGACCACCUCCAAGGAAAAUUUACUGAGAAGAUUUCUAAAAUCUCCCUUGAAAAUGGACAACCCUAACUCGAAAAUUCCAAAUUACACUCUUAAUACAACAUGUCCAAACAUCACAUAAUUAUCCUUCAGAAAUUCUAAACAUAAUAUACAAUAAUCCCAAAGUAUUCAGAGCUACUAGACACUAGUGGAAGCAAGAAAACACGAGUAGGUUAAACAUGUAACCUACUGAUGAAAACUGGCGGAAAUGCGGGUGACUAUGCCUCGCCUCCUACUAGAUCCAACCCAAACUCUGCAGACUGGGCAAUUUAAAACGAAGGGCCUAGGGGAAACAUUUAAUAACGUUAGAGUGAGUGGACAAAAAUAAAAUAAUAAAUAAAAAUAUUUAUGUUUCCCCAAAUUAAUUUCUAAGGAAAAAUCGAAUGCAUGCCGCAAGCGAUAAAACUUUUAUCUCAUAAAAUAUCGAGCCUCUCAGACUCUAUAAUAUAUGUAUGUAUUUACACUCGUCCAUACUCCCUAUAUAAAUUCAUGGGUCUAUAUAAGGCUACUACGCUCGCGUCCAACGCUCACGUCACGCCUUAAAUGCGGUGCUACACUACGCCAUUAA